rnacentral:rRNA from 1 species
AGAGUUUGAUCCUGGCUCAGAUUGAACGCUGGCGGCAGGCCUAACACAUGCAAGUCGAGCGAUCUCUUCGGAGAGAGCGGCGGACGGGUGAGUAACGCGUGGGUAAUCUGCCCUGUACACACGGAUAACAUACCGAAAGGUAUACUAAUACGGGAUAACAUACGAAAGUCGCAUGGCUUUUGUAUCAAAGCUCCGGCGGUACAGGAUGGACCCGCGUCUGAUUAGCUAGUUGGUAAGGUAAUGGCUUACCAAGGCAACGAUCAGUAGCCGACCUGAGAGGGUGAUCGGCCACACUGGAACUGAGACACGGUCCAAACUCCUACGGGAGGCAGCAGUGGGGAAUAUUGCACAAUGGGCGCAAGCCUGAUGCAGCGACGCCGCGUGAGGGAUGGAGGCCUUCGGGUUGUAAAGCUCUGUCUUCAGGGACGAUAAUGACGGUACCUUUCGAAUAAGCACCGGCUAACUACGUGCCAGCAGCCGCGGUAAUACGUAGGGUGCAAGCGUUAUCCGGAAUUAUUGGGCGUAAAGCGAGCGCAGGCGGUUUUUUAAGUCUGAGGUGAAAGACUGAAGCUUAACUUCAGUAAGCCAUAGAAACCGGGCAGCUAGAGUGCAGGAGAGGAUCGUGGAAUUCCAUGUGUAGCGGUGAAAUGCGUAGAUAUAUGGAAGAACACCAGUGGCGAAGGCGGCUGUCUGGUCUGUAACUGACGCUGAGGCUCGAAAGCAUGGGUAGCGAACAGGAUUAGAUACCCUGGUAGUCCAUGCCGUAAACGAUGAAUGCUAGGUGUUGGAGGGUUUCCGCCCUUCAGUGCCGCAGCUAACGCAUUAAGCACUCCGCCUGGGGAGUACGACCGCAAGGUUGAAACUCAAAGGAAUUGACGGGGGCCCGCACAAGCGGUGGAGCAUGUGGUUUAAUUCGAAGCAACGCGAAGAACCUUACCAGGUCUUGACAUCCUUUGACCACUCUAGAGAUAGAGCUUCUCCUUCGGGGGCAAAGUGACAGGUGGUGCAUGGUUGUCGUCAGCUCGUGCUGGGAGAUGUUGGGUUAAGUCCCGCAACGAGCGCAACCCUUAUUACUAGUUGCCAGCAUUUAGUUGGGCACUCUAGUGAGACUGCCGGUGACAAACCGGAGGAAGGUGGGGACGACGUCAAAUCAUCAUGCCCCUUAUGACCUGGGCUACACACGUGCUACAAUGGAUGGUACAACGAGUUGCGAGACCGCGAGGUUUAGCUAAUCUCUUAAAACCAUUCUCAGUUCGGAUUGUAGGCUGCAACUCGCCUACAUGAAGCCGGAAUCGCUAAUAAUCGCGGAUCAGCAUGCCGCGGUGAAUACGUUCCCGGGCCUUGCACACACCGCCCGUCA